UACAGAGGGUGCAAGCGUUAAUCGGAAUUACUGGCGUAAGCGAGCGUAGUCGGUUAUUUAAGUCGGAUGUGAAAUCCCCGGGCUCAACCUGGAAUUGCAUUCGAUACUGGAUAGCUAGAGUUCGGCAGAGGGAAGCGGAAUUUCUGGUGUAGCGGUGAAAUGCGUAGAUAUCAGAAGGAACAUCAGUGGCGAAAGCGGCUUCCUGGACCAGAACUGACGAUCAGGCUCGAAAGCGUGGGGAGCAAACAGG
rnacentral:rRNA from 1 species